rnacentral:rRNA from 1 species
AUUGAACGCUGGCGGCAUGAUUUACACAUGCAAGUCGAACGGUAACAGGCCGCAAGGUGCUGACGAGUGGCGAACGGGUGAGUAAUGCAUCGGAACGUGCCCAGUCGUGGGGGAUAACUACUCGAAAGAGUAGCUAAUACCGCAUACGAUCUAUGGAUGAAAGCGGGGGACCGUAAGGCCUCGCGCGAUUGGAGCGGCCGAUGUCAGAUUAGGUAGUUGGUGGGGUAAAGGCUCACCAAGCCAACGAUCUGCAGCUGGUCUGAGAGGACGACCAGCCACACUGGGACUGAGACACGGCCCAGACUCCUACGGGAGGCAGCAGUGGGGAAUUUUGGACAAUGGGCGCAAGCCUGAUCCAGCAAUGCCGCGUGCAGGAAGAAGGCCUUCGGGUUGUAAACUGCUUUUGUACGGAACGAAACGGCUCUGGUUAAUACCCGGGGCUAAUGACGGUACCGUAAGAAUAAGCACCGGCUAACUACGUG